ACCCAGGUUGUUAUUCUAAAGGUGCACUGGAGCCGAACUUCAGGAUGGAGCUCAGCUGUUAACCCAUUAGUGACUCACCCAACCAUGGAGACCCAGGGAUUUGUGUAAGGGCUAAGAUGCUGCAAGACCUGCUGAUUGGGAGCCAAAGAUUCUGAAUUUGCAGACUGAAGGCUCCCUUUCGUCACUUGCCCCUCAGACCCGGAAUCCUUGCUUAUCAGUGGGAAGUGGCUGUCUGCUGGAUCCCAUUUGACAUCCCUGAGCCUGGGAACUAUCUGGCGAAUCUCCAACUUCAAGCUACAAAAGCCAAUGCCCACAGCAGCCUUGUUCCUGGCUACCGGACCUCUCCACUGCUGAAUCAGUAAGCUAUUAAUAGUUCAAAGAACCACCAUCCACGGAGGCCAACUUGGCCUUUACCAACAAGGAAGCUAACAGGUAAUAGCGGUUUCAAUGACAUGGAGUCUAGACCAGUGGGUCUCGAGCUGCAAUGUUCAUACAAAUCACCUGCAAAGCUGAUUAGAAUGUAGGUUCCAAGGCCGGGCACGGUGGCUCAUGCUUGUAAUCCCAGCACUUUGGAAGGCUGAGGUGGGUCGAUCACGAGGUCAGGAGAUCAAGACCAUCCUGGCUAACAUGGUGAAACCCCAUCUGUACUAAAAGUACAAAAAAAUUAGCCGGCCAUGGUGGCGGGCACCUGUAGUCCCAGCUACUUGGGAGGCUGAGGCAGGAGAAUGGUGUGAACCCGGGAGGCGGAGGUUGCAGUAAGCAGAGAUCGCACCGCUGCACUCCAGCCUGGGCGACAGAGCGACACUCCAUCUCAAAAAAAAAAAAAAAAAAAAAAAAGAAAGAAUAUGGGUUGCGCUUCAGAAGGCCUGACAUUCUUCAUUUCUAACAAGCUCCCACCAGGUGAUGUCAUUGGCUGGCAGGGGCACGCGCAUAGCAAGCCAUGGAUGCCUACUCAUCAGAGACCACCACCUCCUCAGAGUCCCUCUGCAUUUAGGGGUCUAGUAGGACCUCAAGCACUUCAAAGCCUGAGUGAAACCCCCAAAAGAAGGUGGCUUGGCUGCAGAGGGAGCCCCACAGAGACCCCUGAGAGGCUGAGCAGAGGGACACUGAGCUCCCACUGCAGGGUCAGGGCCAGCCAAACUCUAUGACUUCCUUGCUUUCUGGAUCCCAAGCUCUCACCUCCGGCCAGACAUUAUUAGUGUGAAUUCUACCUCCUUUUGCUGGGGAGGGCAAAGUGCAGCAGCCUGCAGGUACAAUUUACUGCAGCAUGGGCUCAUAAAACACUGCAAAUGAAACUUCAAAGGCCAUGGGCAGCCACUGCCCGUGGGUCCACCUUUCUCCAAACCCUCGUUAGCCGCCCACCCUUGGAGUUCUCCUCCAGGGUGAUCUCAGCUCCCUUCCCUACCCCACCCUCCAUUAAGGC
rnacentral:lncRNA from 1 species